AAAGUAUGUCUCGUUGGUGACCAGCGGAGGGUCAUUACCGAGUUUACAACUCCCAAACCCCUGUGAACAUACCUUAUGUUGCCUCGGCGGAUCAGCCCGCGCCCCGUAAAAAGGGACGGCCCGCCGCAGGAACCCUAAACUCUGUUUUUAGUGGAACUUCUGAGUAUAAAAAACAAAUAAAUCAAAACUUUCAACAACGGAUCUCUUGGUUCUGGCAUCGAUGAAGAACGCAGCAAAAUGCGAUAAGUAAUGUGAAUUGCAGAAUUCAGUGAAUCAUCGAAUCUUUGAACGCACAUUGCGCCCGCCAGUAUUCUGGCGGGCAUGCCUGUUCGAGCGUCAUUUCAACCCUCAAGCCCAGCUUGGUGUUGGGAGCUGCAGUCCUGCUGCACUCCCCAAAUACAUUGGCGGUCACGUCGAGCUUCCAUAGCGUAGUAAUUUACACAUCGUUACUGGUAAUCGUCGCGGCCACGCCGUUAAACCCCAACUUCUGAAUGUUGACCUCGGAUCAGGUAGGAAUACCCGCUGAACUUAAGCAUAUCAAAA
rnacentral:rRNA from 1 species